AUUAAAUUUGUCAAUUGUUUCAGAUCUUUGAAAUUUUCGUUAUACUUCCAAUUCAUUAACAAAUAAAUUAUCUUUUGUUUACUAUUCCUAAAGAAAAACAGUGUAUAAUUGGGAUCGUAGUUUUUGAAGUUAAUUGGAUAAAUAACAGGUUAAAAGAGUUAAAAGUUUCCUGAAACGAAGAACGAGGAAGACGAAACGUCGCCUGAAGAUUUAUUUCCAUGGAAAAGUCCCAAGACUGUCUAAAUCAACUUGCAUUUGAAUUGAAUUCUCUUUUUCCUCAAUGUUGAGCACUUUCUGAUGAGAAAUUGCGAAUAAGGAAGCGAGGGAGGCAUCUAGUUUGUGCAAAUCUCCUUAACGGGACAGGGAGACAUGGUUGGAGCGAGAAUGAAAGAUAUUAUCAUCGUCCCCCGAAGGCAAACUACAUUGACUCAUAAAUUGAACAGUGCUAUAAAUCAUUUGCAGUUUUGGUGAGAUUUACUGAUUUAGCAGGCUGAUACUUAAGAGGAUUAAAUUCGUCAGAGAUGCGGCCGCGUGAUUAUUCAGAUCAAUUUGUGCCAUUAUGAAUAGGUCGAAACCUCAU